rnacentral:rRNA from 1 species
CCCCACUAUGCCUAAUCGUAAACUUUUAUUUACACUUAAACCGCCAGGGAACUACGAGCUAAGCUUAAAACCCAAAGGACUUGACGGUACCCCAUAUCCCCCUAGAGGAGCCUGUCCUAUAAUCGAUAAUCCACGUUUAACCUCACCAUUUUUUGUUAAUCAGCCUGUAUACCUCCGUCGCCAGCUUACCACGUGAGCGAAUAUUAGUGAGCUUAAUGUUAUUACACCAAUACGUCAGGUCAAGGUGCAGCAAAUGAAAUGGGAAGAGAUGGGCUACACUUUCUAUUAUAGAAGAAACGAAAAACUAUUUAUGAAAAUCUAGUUAGAAGGCGGAUUUAGCAGUAAAAAGAAAUCAGCAUGUUCAUUUUAACUCGGCACUGGGGUGUGU